rnacentral:misc_RNA from 1 species
AACGUGAUCAGAACGUGAUCAGAACGGGACCAGAACGGGACCAGAACGGGACCAGAAUCGCCACCAGAAUCGCCACCAGAAUCGCCACCAGAAGUCACCGACUGACUCCGUUGUCAUCGUUCGUCACCCAAGUUAGACCAUCAACUCACUUAUCACCAUCUCGCUCUGUGGUAACUGACUAGUUUUCGGUUUGGUUAAUUGCAGGUUGUUGAGUAAUCGCCAGCUCAUUCUCACCCAUGCCCUCACGAAACUAUCAUCUCGCUCACCUAUCGUUAUGCUCGGUCGAUACUAUUGCACUCUGUGCAAGACACGGAUUCCAGACAAAGACAUGCGCACGCACUACUACCAAUGCGCGGGCUACUUGACCCAGUACACCGGCCAGGGCCGCCGGAGAUUCAUUGACUGGUUGCUGACCCAAAAACAAGACUGGGACGAUUAUGGAUGUGAUGAUAGGGGGUAUUAUCUCAAGGUUGAUGUGGGGCGGAAGGCAGAGGUGGAGAAGAAGUCAAGUGGAGGUCGAUGAGAUGGACCUCCAUGAACGCCAUAAACUCUCCACAUGGUGACAUGUUCAUCGCAGUACUGAAUAUGUCCAGUGAUCAUGUCAAUUCAGUCAUGUGACUUCUGUUUCUUCACCACUGAUUGUCGCUUGAUCAAACACAUUCUGAUCAGAUGCCUCAUCUUUUGUGGCUACAUUUUUUCCACCGUUUGAGGCUGUUUUCGGAAAAAACAUAUAAACACCCGGCCACCCCUCCCAUUACAGACGAUAACAUGCCAACCCUCGUCUACUUUUGCGUGCACUGCAAAACCAAAGUGCCGCAACACCGCCUCCAGAGACACGUGGACGAGUGUAUGGCACGCCUGCAACUGCCACGAACCCACAGACCGCCCCAGGCAGACACCCACGUGAAAGAUCUCCCGCCAAUGUUCCGCAAGCUCACGUAUCGGUUGAAUUCCCUCUUUCAGAAUAGUCGGUUGAAGAGAUGAUGUGAUAUAAGUUGAAGAGAAGCCAUGAACUUGCUUAACCAUCUCCACGGCAUGAGGUGCUCUCACCGCCUUUGAAACAGUAUAGAGUGCUCGAACCACCUCGAAACGGCACCAACAUAGUUGUGAGGUUUUUGACGAGUCCGAUGGUGGUGUCAAAACUGCUGUACACACAGCUUUCCGACAGCUUUCCGAAUAUGCGUGUGUCAGAACAGGAUCUCUUCGAAAUUCGAGAUGGAGCCGGAAACAAAGAGCCUAGGGACAGAGAGGAUUCAAUGUGUAAUAGACGAUGGGCCAUUACUCGUAAUAUGCCCUGUUUGAAGGCAUCCUCGAAGCUCUGAUAGGGCUGGUGUUGGUGACAUCAGUGCAGUCUGAUAUUUUGACUCGUUAUCCAGAGUUUAAAUAUCAGAUAACACUCCAUACACAACACCAUCUUCUCACAACUACAGUAAGAUGACAUGCGGCUCAUUCCAGACUGUCACAUUGCGCGCGCGAGUUGGGUGUGGCAAGACUGAAUUGACGUUGUCGAUCGGUGAAGUUGGCUGGACAUUUGCUGGGCGAUUUGUGACCCAAAGAUCAGCACGGCCUAAAGAUCGGACACAGACGUACGAGCACACCGACUGGUUGGGGUCACGUUCGUACUGACUGGCGAGGCAGCUGAGCUAUGGCUGUGUGCCUGGAUCUGUGGCUCUGGCUCUGAUAUGGGACACGGUGGCUUUGUGGUAUUCUCUACUGCGCAUUGUGCUCUCUUUUGUUGCUCUCUAUUUUCAGUCAAUUGGUCAUGUGAUUCCGAAGCCUCCGAUUUAGAGACGGAAUUUGGACAUUGGGUGGGGCAAAAAAAGACUAUAAAUACAAUCAAUGCCGCGCUUCAUUGUCCAUAGACAAGCGAAACCUGUGUGCGGACGACCCAAGCUUGAUGAUUGGUUGAUGGAGCUCGAUGGGGCUCGUCUUUGCCAGAAAAAGACCUCGCGACCGCCGCAUUGGUGCCUACACACCAAUAUAGCCUCUGGUGAGAGGGCCUCUGAUGAGAGGAUUGCAAUGCGAGUAAGAGUAUUUAACAACCGGCAAAGAACGUUGCGAACAACACUCUACCGUCCUUACCUCAAUUUUAUCUCACAAUGACAGAAACAGAAUGGAAGUGCGACCAGUGCAAAACCGUCUUUUUCGCGUCUGAACAUCUGGUUCACAGAGUGGUCUGCAACGGCAUUCCCUAUGUGCUGAAACCUCCAAACAAAGACAAGGACCAAGAGCCCGAGAUGAUUCUGAUCUCCCAGCGAAGACGCAGAAGCAGUCUGUUCAAGAUCAUGAAUGAUCCCUAGCCAGAACUUGAACAUGCGUCUUUCCCCGAUACCAUAGGUACUGUAGGAUAACAGAUCAUAC